rnacentral:lncRNA from 1 species
CUUUUUUUGUUUUGAAUUUAACUAUUCAAAAAUCAACCCUUUAAAAGCUAGGCUAAGCAAAACCACAAAUGGUAUUUAAAAUUAAUUUUUUUAGGAAAAAGGUCAAUUGUGAUUUUUCGGAGCCACUUUUAUAGGGUUUAUGCAAAGGCUUGCUACUACAUCGGUGUUACAUCCUAGAAGUCUUGAGGAGUUACAAUUUUGAUAUUUGACGUGUGGUGUUAAGCUUAUUUUAGUAACGUGUAACUUUUGUAUGUAUGCAUUGAAGAUUGAGUCAUUAAUUAUUUCAAUUAGAUAUAUUGUGCUUUCAUGAUUUAUCCUCUUUCUUGACAUAUCUGCCAAAUCUUUCUUCUGUGCUUUAUCUCUGAUUAUCCUUGAGACAAAAACCAUAUAGACCAAUGGUU